GCAUUUAACUCAUCGAAUUUGCAGCUGGGGGGUUCAUCAAUGGAAUUCAAUCCUCUCUAUGAUGCAGAAAAAGGUUUCAACGUGAUGCCUUCAUCAUUCCAUGACAUAAGUAAUGUUGAAUUCCAGGACAACUGGUCAAGAGUUUGGGUGGAUCUUGGCACAGCCGAUUUCUUCUCAAUCGAUGUUCUUCUCAAUUGCUUAACGGUAUUGAGCUCAGAAUAUGUAGGCAUUCAACAAGUUGUUUUUGGUGGUCAGCGGAUGGGUGAUUGGGAAGAGGGAAUGACCAACUCUGAUGACGGUUACAAAUACUUUGAAAUUUGACAUGGACGGAGUUAUCAUGUACCUGCAAUGUUCAAGUUUUUCCAAUUCGAAAAGAGAUGAAGCUUUGUAGUACUAUCCCUAACGAUACGAUAAAUUUUGAUCAGAAGUCUAAUUAGUUACUGUAAUUAUUGGACGGAGUUAUCAUGCACCUGCAAUGUUCAAGUUUUUCCAAUUCGAAAAGAGAUGAAGCUUUGUAGUACUAUCCCUAACGAUACGAUAAAUUUUGAUCAGAAGUCUAAUUAGUUACUGUAAUUAUUGGACGGAGUUAUCAUGC
rnacentral:misc_RNA from 1 species